rnacentral:tRNA from 1 species
CCGACUUUAGCUCAGUUGGAAGAGCGCGAGACUGUAAUUGGAUAAAACAUCUUGAGGUCGCCUGUUCGAGCCAGGCAAGUCGGA